rnacentral:lncRNA from 1 species
CGACUGAGCAAGACUCCAUCUCAAAAAACAAAACAAAACAACAACAACAAACAAAAUGCGGAUAUGGAAAAAUGCCUCUUGAGCAUUUCCGAACCUCACUCUCCUCCCCAAGGAUUAGUAUAGUAGUGCUGUUAGCAGUUUGGUGUAAGUUCUCCAGGCGUUUUUCUCUGCAUUGAAACUGAUCAAUAAGCAUGUAGAAAUUAUAUACUCAUCAUGUGUAUGCGUUUACACAAUGUGAUCGUGCUGCAAUUUCUUUUUUUGUUUUACUCAUUCAUUUAUUCAAUGCUUAUUUACAUGCUGGGCACUGCUUUAGGUGCUGAUGAUAGUAAUAAUACCCAACAGUUACCUAGUGAGUACAGAGUGCCAGGCCCUGUAGUUUGUGCCAUUUAACCCUCACAGCCCUAUGAGAUAGGCACUGUUAUUAUCCCCAUUUUAUGUAUGAGAAAACAGAGGCACAGACUGCUUAAAAGAUAUACCCAAGGGCACACAGCUACUUAGAGGAAGCACCUGGACUGGAACUCCAGCAGUCUAACUUGUAAAUAGGUCCUCUUUUUCUUUUUUUCUUUUUUUUUUGAGAUGGAGUCUCGCUCUGUUGCCCAGGCUGGAGUGCAGUGGCAUGAUCUCGGCUCACUGCAACCUCCACCUCCUGGGUUCAUGCCAUUCUCCUGCCUCAGCCUCCCAAGUAGCUGGGACUACAGGCGCCUGCCACCAUGCCCAGCUAAUUUUUUUUUUUCUAUUUUUAGUAGAGACGGGGUUUCACCAUGUUAGCCAGGAUGGUAUCGAUCUCCUGACCUUGUGAUCCACCCGCCUCAGCCUCCCAAAGUGCUGGGAUUACAGGUGUGAGUCACCACACCUGGCCAUAAAUAGGCACUCUUAAGGGCCAUGCUCUAUUAUUAUGGGCAAUAACAGAAAUGAAAAUGUCCCUGGAGUUCUCAUGCCAGUAGGGGGGAAACAGACAUAGAUAUAUAAUUUGUCAGGGAGUAGUAAGGAAGAGAAGUAAAACUGGCUAAAGGGAUAGUCUCUUUGCUAAUGUAAUAUAUGAACAAGUACCAGAAGGAGAAAUGGGAACCAGCUGUUUGGCUUUUAGAAGGAAGAGAAUUCCAGGCAGAGGGAACGGCAAGUGCAGAGGCCCUGAGGCAGGAAUAUGCUUGCAUUGCUCAGAGAGGACUCUGAUGUGGCUGAAGUGGAGGGAGUGAAAGGGAGAGAGAGGGGAGAUGAGGAUGUGGGAUGGGAGAUGAGGAUGGGGAGGUGGCAGCCAGAUCAUGCAGGGCUUGUAAAGUCAUAGUAAGAAGGAUGUCUCCACCUGUAUACUUAAAAAAAAAUAGAGACGGGAUCUCAGUAUAUCGCCCAGGCUGGUCUUGAACUCCUGGGCUCAAGUGAUCCUCCCACCUCGGCCUCCCAAAGUGCUGGGAUUACAGGUAUGAACCAGGGCACCUGGCCCUGUCUUCAUGUUUAAACUGCAGUGUGGCGUCCCAUCAUAUGAAUACAUCACUCCUAAUUUAACCUGCCUACUGAUGGACAUUUAGGUUGUUUCAAGGUUUCUCCUAUUGCAAACAAAGCUGCAAUGAACAUCGUUGCACGUCUGUGGUUCCCAACCCUGGCUGCACAUUAGAGUUACCUGGAGAGCCCUACAGUCUACCAAUUCCUGGCCCUGUUACUGGAGAUUCUAAUUUAAUUGGUCCAGGGUGGGCCCUGGGCAUUGUUUUUAAAAAUUUUUUUGUUUUAAUUUUUUGAGACAGGGUCUUGCUCUGUCACCCAGGCUGGAGUACAGUGGCACAAUUAUAGCGGACUGCACCCUCGACCUCUUGGGCUCAAGCUGGCCUCACACCUGAGCCUCCCAAGUAGCUGGGACUACAGGUGCAUGCCACCAAGCCCAGAUAUAUUUUUUUAAAUUUUUAGUAGAGAUGAGAUCUUGCUAUGUUUCCCAGGCUGGCCUCCAGCUCCUGAGCUCUAGUGAUCCUCCUGUUUCUGCCUCCCAAAGUGCUGGGAUUUCAGGCAUGAACUACAGUGCCCAGCGGCAUUGGCAUAUGUUUAAAGCUCCCCAGGUGAUUCUAACACGUAGCUAGGGUGAAGCAUUACUGUGUUACAUGCAUUUCUGUGCACCUGUCUCUAAGGUGGAUACUGAGCAGUGGAAUUGCUGGGUUGGUGGGUGCCUGGAUUUUAUAUUAGAUACAUCCAAACUGACUUUCCAAAAGACUGUCCCAAUUUUCUCUUUCACCACCAGUAUAGUGUCAAAUUUUUCACAUCCUGGUCAACCUUGAUAUUACCCAUCUUUUUAAUUGUUGCAAUCUGCCAGACAAAAAUAUGUAGGAUUUUUGUUGUUAUUGCUUUAAUUUGUGCUUUCUUGAUUACUAGUGAGGUUGAACAUCUUUUUAAUGUUCAUUCUGAUUUCUUCAUCAAUGCGCUGCUAGCUUAUAUCCUUUUCCAAGCAAAAAUUCUUCCAUUGUUGCUGGCAACUUAGGUCUGAUUUGUCUCUACCUGAACUUAUCUGAACCAACAGAGAAAGACCCUUCUAACCUUCUAGAAAUAGGUAAUGAUUCCCAUUUUUCAUUAUGGAAUCACAAAAAUUCUCUGAUCAAAACAAUUCCCAGAAAGCCUUUCCCCAGCCAAAAAUAUAGAAAAGAAGAGGGAUUUGCUUUUAAGCUUUUGCAAAAAGGUCAAGUUCCACCUUGAUAUGUAUGUCUCCUUCCAAUUCUGAUGCAAUUGAAGGAUAUUUUGAGACCAGGAAAGGAUUCAUUUCAAUUUGCUUAUGAGAGAGACGCUUUCCCAGUACAGAAUGGGUCAAGGUCUUCUAACUCUGUGCCUGCUAAUGAGACACAGUCAUGGGACCCUAACCCCUGUUUAGAGGUAAGUUUUUCCUUAAUGAAAACCUUGGAGCACAAAGGCUGUUGUUGUUAAGAAUGGCAAGCAAGCAUUUUUAACACACAGGUGUGUACCUGGCUGUUUACACCUCAACAAGACCACUCAGAGAUGUACCUUCAGGGGAGUUACAUUGUAUGUGCAUUUAACAUGUGGCAGAUCAACUAUUUAUGUUCCUCAAAAACAAAAAAAGCAACUGUUUAAAUAGAGCUGGAGUUUCUGACUGCCGCCCCGCUCAAUGAUCAUGAGCACGGAUGGGGAUGUCACAUCUAUUCCUUCUAUGUGAGCCCAGAGUGUGGUUCCAGUGUUGAAACAGAUGCCAUGAACCCUAAACCCAGCCACAUACUUCAGUGGGCUCUCAACCCAAGGAACAGUCACCUGUUCCAACACUGGAAACAUUCACUGGCUAUGCUGGGCUGAUCAAGAUACCAUGUGUGAGUCUCCAGUAGGGCGCCCUCCUUGGAUACUUCCAAGAUUAAGUUUGAUUAUACUCAAAGCUCACCUUGUGCCCUGACAUGAGAACCUUACUCCUGAGUAACAUGAAGCUCCACUGUAUUAGCAGGGUCAUCCGGGAAUGUCAUAUUUGUCACAGAGGACAUUUGUCUCAUACCCAAAUGUUGUCCUGGUCAACUCUUUCUGCUGCUAAGGACGUUCCGCUGAAUUCCACAGAGCAUCAGAUAAGUGACCAUGAGCCUAAUCUCAAUGAGAGAUGAAAAGAGCUGGGUGUGGUGGCUCAACCCUGUAAUCCCAGCUAACUCAGGAGGCUGAGGUGGGAGGAUCACUUGAGGCUGGGAGUUCAAGACCAGCCGGGGCAACAUAAUGAGACCCCUGUCUCAAAAACCAAAAACAAAAGGGAGGGAGGAAGAGAAAAUUUGGGAGGUGUGUAAACUUUCCAGGGAAGCAGCAAUAACUGAAGCUUCUACCAGGUACCUUAGGUGUGAUGUUGUGCUAUAAUAACAAUAAGAAAUAUUUGAUCCCUGCAUCUGGUUCUUGACACAGAGCUCCUAACACCCUUGUAGACUGGGUACUAGGAGAAUCUUUUGUUUUGAUGUUUUGUCUUUGACUCCAGUUUCUGACACAGAGCUCCCCAGUUUCUUGGAAUUUCCUGGGUGAUGGGACUAUAUUUGUUCUAAUGAGGCAACUCUUGGUGGGCUCCUGGAUAGCCUCAGGUUGGGAGUGGGUUGCCAGGGGAACCAGCCAUGUAAUUAGAAGGUUGGAACUUCCAGUCCCACCCCCUGGACUCCAGGGAGGACAAAUGGCCUGAAGGUUGAUUUUGAGUUGGGCACCAAUGGCCAGUGAUGUAAUUGGUCAUGCCUAUGUAAUGAAGCCCCCAUGCAAACCCAAAAGGACAGGGUUGGGAGAGGUUUUAGAUUGCUGAAUGUGUGGUGGGACCUGGAAGGUGGCACACAUGGAAACACCACGCCCCUUCCUCUAUACCUUGCCCUAUGCAUCUCUUCCAUCUGACUGUUCAUCUGUAUCCUUUGUAAUAUCCUUUGUAAUAAAUGGGUAAACAUAAGUAAGUGUUGCCUUGAGUUCUGUGAGCCACUUUAGCGCAUUAAUAGAAACUGAGAAGAGGGUGGUGAAAAUCUCCAACUAAGAGCCAGCCAGUCAGAAGCGCAGGUCACAACCUGGGGCUUGCAAUUAGCAUCUGAAAUGGGAGGCAGUCUUGGGGGACCAAACCAUUAACCUGUGGGAUCUGACUCUAACUCCCAGUAGAUGGUGUCAUAAUCGGGCUAAAUUACAGAAUACCUAGUUGGUAGUCACUGGACAAUUGCUUGGUGUGUGGGGGAAACAAAACACACCUGCUCACAGCUGUGUGUUGUGUUGAGUGUAUAAGAGAAGAAAAACUGUUUAUCUUUUAUCUUAGGGAUGCAAAAAGUCUUGUUUGUUGGCACAUGUCCACACAGGCAAGAAUGUUCUUCAUUAAAUGCAAGCCCUAGGAUAGUAGUUCUGCAACUUUAGAAUAUUUAGAAUUAUUUUUUGGGGAAGGUGGCUUGUCAUAUUUCCAGGCUACUCAGGAAAUGGGGUCCAGGAACUUGCAUUUUUAUAAACAUCCCAGAUGAAUCUGUCGUAGGUGGCUCUGAGAUUUGUGCUUUGAGAAACAUCACUAGAAUAACCUAACCUUGCUUGAGUCCUCAAGGUAUUAGCAGGAAGCAAAAGCCUGCAAAUAGGUUGGUUUUGACUAGGGGUUUGAAUUACUAGGAUUGAUAAAUGGACAGCUACUAUAUUUAAACCUUUCACCUGUGUGAUUUAUUUCUUCACUUUCCCUAGCAGCUUGAGGGCGGAGAGUUUUCUGACUUUGAAAGACUGCAAGUUCAUGAUUCUGUCUGGACAAGAACAAUUCCCUGCUGUCAAUGCACGAUUCUAUCCAAAAUGGUUUAAUAUUUCAGUUGAAUAAUUCCCAGCUCUUAGGAAUUUGAUGUCAUGAAACCCCGUGUUUCAUUGCCCCAGCCACCAUGUGGCUUACAUAGAUAUCCUGUAAAAUAGGACGAAUGAGAGCUUUUUAUGAGUUUGGGUAAAGACUAUCAUGAUCUGAGACUACGCCAAGGAAGUAAACUACCCGGGAUUUCAACCAUUUGAGAUUUCAAUCUGUUCUCUAACACAUUGGUUACAGCUUUCUUAAUAAGGAUAAAGAAUGAUUUUUUUAAAGACAGGGAAUUUACAAUUUUUAAAAGGCAGUAAUUUACUUCAGACAGGUUUUGUUUUUGUUUUUGUUUUUUUUUGAGACAGGGUCUCACUCUGUUGCUUAGGCUGCAGUGCAGUGGUGUGAUCACAGCUCACUGCAGCCUCAAUCUCCUGGGCUCAAAAGAUCCUCCUGCUUCCGCCUCCCAAAUAGCUAGGAUGACAGGUAUGCGCCACCAAACCCAGCUAAUUUAAAAUAAAUAUUUUUUGGAGCAACAGGGUCUUGCUAUGUUGCCCAGGCUGGUCCUAAACUCCUGGCCUCAAGAGAUCCUCCCACCUCAGCCCAAGGUAUUGGAUUACAGGUGUGAGCCACCACACCCAGCCCCGAGACAGCAUUUUGGAAUGAAUACUUUCAGAAAACUCACAGAUUCAUGGGUUUUGGGCUCAUCUUCAGGCUUCGACUCCUCUAAUGUCAGAUUUUCCAGCCCCUCUGUGGAAAUAGAUUGUUACAAAGGAGGCUCCCUGUGGGUAGACCUGCUAGGUGGCAACUUCAUUCCCCUCCCUAGCAUUGGGUUAGACAGCAGAUUAGGAUGAUGAGUUUGCUGUAAAUGAAAACCGACCAGUCCAUGAAUGGCCACCAUUCGCACGUUCUUCCUUGUGGACUUUGGUGGCAGGAUAUUUGCCAAGGUUUGGCAAAGACCCUUCUGCCCGCCACCUGCAUCUGAAUCCUCAGGUUGGGAGCAGGGGCAGCUGAAAGAUGCAGAUGUUCUUGAACCCCACUUCUGAUUUAGCAGGUUGGAAUCUUUGGAGGUGAGGCUCGGAUGCUAACUUUUUUAAAACCUCUCCAGGUAACUCUUAUGGAGUCUAAAGCUUGGGUACUUUUGCCUUAAAAGUUUCAUAUUGCCAUUUAGUUACUCCUGUAAAUGAGGGCUGGGAGAUUUAAUUUCAAAGGAUUACUGAGAAAUUGGCCAUGUUACCUGGAAGAGAGAAUUGAUUUCAUUCUCUAACAGCUAGUUCUUUUCUGCCUCUUUCCUUCUUUCUCUCUGUCUCUCUCUCUCUUGCCCCUACAUGCAUAUGACAAAGCCUUUAAAUUUGGGUCUCUUUUAAAAUUUAUUUAUUUAGUUUUUGAGACAGGGUCUCACUCUGUCAUGUAGGCUAGAGUGCGAUGGCAUGACCACAGCUCACUGCAGCCUUGAAUUCCUGGACUCAAGUGAUCCUCCCAUCUCAGCCUUCCAAAUAGCUGGGAAUACAGGUGUGUGCCACCAUGCCCAGCUAAUUAAAAAAAAUUUUUUUUUUUUAGAGAUGGGGUCUAGCUAUGUUGCCCAGGCUGGUCAAGGAACUCCUGGCCUCAAGAGAUCCUUCCAUCUUUGCCUCCCAAAGUGCUAGGAUUAUAGGCAUCAGCCACUGUGCCUGGCCUGUUUUCUUUAAUAACAGAGGGAAAGGCAUCUAGAAGGAAUUUGACCUUACAGAUGGGGAAAUAAUUCAAUUCUCAUUUUAUAGUUAGGGAAAUUGAGGCACAGAGAGUUUAAUAAUUUGCCCAGAUAGCCUGUGUGGUAGAAGUAGGAUCUGAAUCCUGAUAAAGCUGGUAUUAAAUCAUAGGCUCUAACCUUUGUGAACAGUGCCUUUUAGGAAGAAGGAUCAAAGAGGCAACUCCUUCUCAUACCUUUUAUUCCUAACAAAGCUUCAAUCACAAGCAGAGACAUCAACACUUCAUCCCCAGAUAAAAACACUUAUAUUAAGGCUGGAGAAAGUCUAACAUAUGAAUGCUUCUAGAUCCCUUCCAACACUUCUUGGAUGGAGUUGCCAUGAGCAAACUGAUCUUUGAAAGCAAACUGUCCACUAGAGACUGCAAAGUAGAUAGUGUCUAGGCUGCAAAUAUUGUUUUUGUGUUUUAGUAAUGUGAAUUGCUAACCAUGCGUUUUAGUAAUGUGAAUUGGUUGUCAACAUCUAAAAAUUUGGAGAUUUUACAUAAAAUCCCAGAUUUCCAACAUCUCUUGAAAAAUGAGCCCCAUGAGGCCUGCAUACUAAGUGGUUACAAUUGGAGCAGAGUGGUGGCUGCUUCCUUUAAACUGUGCUUUUGAAAUUACCAUGGUCCCCACCACUUCCUAUUGUCCUAUAACCAGGCUACCUCAUGUAUGUCCUUCCCCUGACCCCUGUACUCCUUUGAUUUUGUGAACCUUAGCCCUGACUCAUCACACAUUUCUGUAGGAUGAAACCUCACCAUACCAUUCCCCCGUAAAUCAAUCCUGGAGUUAGCCACAAAGCAAGUACCACUUACUGGCCUUUGUUACUGGGUGUACUAGCAGGAACAUAUUGACUUAGCGGCAGUGCAGAGUUUGGCUAAGAACACAGCCUGAAGAGCGACACUAUCCUGGUUUUAAAUCCUACCUUUUCCACUAACUAGCUGUGAGGCUUUGGGCAAGUCACUUUACCUCUCUGAGUCUCGGUUUCCUCAUCUACAAAAUAGGGAUAAUAAUACCUAUCUACCUCUUUGGGUUGCUGUGAAGACUCAAUGAGGAUUAAUUAAUGUUAAGAGCUUAGAACAGUACCUGGCAUAUGUCAAGGUCUAUGUUAGUGUCAGCUGCUAUUAUUAUAACCCACUUAGCUCAAACACUAAUCUAGGCAGUAUGCAUUUUCCCAAGUUCCCAGGAGUCAAGCCAAGGCUUGGUCUCAUUCCCUUAGAACAUUGUCCUUUGUUUGGCUCAUAAAUAUAAAGCCUUGAAUUCUAUUUAAUGGCAUCUUGAAUUCUGAGGUCCUUUCCCAGUAACAUUGAUAAUAUUAGUAAUAAUGGGAUUAAUAAAUGGUUUACAUUUUUGUGCACCCACUAAAGAACAGAGACACCAACCUACACAUUCUGUGGGUCAUCCAGUUAACCUUUACAAUAGCUUUAUGAAAUGGGUACUACUAUUAUUCUCAUUUUACAGGUGAGGAAACUGAGGUUCAGGAAUGUUAAACAAUUGGCUGAAGGUCUCACAGUGAAUAAGUGGUGACUGGGACCUGGGUCCAGGCAGUCUGGUGCCAAAACUGCACCAUUAAACCCACACUCUGUGGCUCCCCUGCUCACAAGUUCACAAGCACCUUACACCUUCUCUUAAGAAUAUAGUCAGGUUCAUUCACGUGUAUUCUCCAACCAUCUUCCUCUUCAUGGGCCAACAUCAAAUUUGCCAUCCUGCAGGCAAGAAACCUUGAGUUUCCUUUCAUGUUUGAGUGUCCUUUUCUCUUUUAUUUGGCCAAAGCCAUUUAAUUUUCUUUUGUGACACUUCUGUUUUGACAUCUUCCCCUCUACCCAGCUGCCACUGGUUGUUCCUGGGUCUGCCUUCUCUGAUAGGAAGUGGAUCUACCAUGACAUCUGCUACUGUCUUGGUUGCCAAGGUUGGGUUGGCUGAUCUGGAAUGUCAAAAGAGGUCUCCUUCCUCCCUCACCCAUCUGGGUGAGCCUCCUUUGUCAACCAAGAGAAAGAGGUUGACCUUCUCAGUUUGAUGGGUGUAGGACUUUGGUCAAGGGUAUAGGAGUAGCCAUGCUGCUGUGGCAGAAAAGUGAAAGAAUUUCUCAGCAUUCUUAUCUGUCUUACCAGAAAUUACACAGCAAGACAGAGAUGGAUCUGGACUUGUCAUUUCUGGGUCUGAGUUGCCUAUCACAUGACCUUGCUGUCUGUCAAACCUCUGACGGAAAGUGUUAUUGAGUCUAGCAGAUGGAGCCCAUCUGAGCUGGUUAGAGAAAUCAGAAUAAAUUUGUCCCAGUCCAGAGGGACAACACAUCAGCAGCAUCCAUCUCUUCAUGAGAUGAGAGCUCCUUGUCAAUACCAAAAAUAUGUAGUGACCUUUCUGCCCUUAAACUAAAACAGUUAUGCUAGUUUGAUGCAAGUAGGAGUUUAUUUAGCAGAUGAUGUGCUAGGGCAGAGCAAAUAGCAAUCCUAAAUAUCCCAUUUAUUCUCCCACAUUUCCUACCCUCUUACAGUUAGGUGGGAUUACGUGACUGAUUUCAGUCAAUGUAAGCCUAAGCGACAUUUGUCGCUAGGCAGUAAAAAGCCCAUGUGGGAUUCUCCAGUCUUCCUCUCCCCCGCCUUUGCCUGAGGACACCUCAUGUUCUAGAUCUGAAGUUGGCAAACUACAGCCCACAGACAGAUGCCUGUUGUUGUAAAUAAAGUUUUAUUGGAACACAGCCACGCCUGUUCAUUUCUAUAUUGUCUAUGGCUGCUUUUGUGCUAAAAUGGCAGAGCUAAGUAGCUGUGCCAGAGACCAUGAUCGGGACCAUAUGGCCUGCAAGGCUUAAAAGAUUUACUAUCUGGCCCUUUACAGACAAAGUUUGUUGACUUCUGUCCUAGAUAGAGCAGCUACAAGAUGGUGCAGCUUUGUAUAGCGUGGGACCCUGCAUGACUGUGUGGAGGAGAGACCUUCCACUGACCUAUAUGAUCCAUGUAAUGGAUCCAUAUUGUUGACCUGAUCCAAAGAAGCAUCCAAACCUUCUUUUUUUAUAAAUCACUCAGUCUGAGGUAUUUCUUUAUAGCAAUGCAGAAUGGACUAACACACUACUUUUGUGCUACAAAGACUGAGUUGAGUAGUUGGGACUAUGUCCCUCUGUCCAGAGGAUGUAGGGCCUGUAAGGCCAGAAAUAUUAACUAUUUGGUCAUUUACCAAAGGAGUUCACCCACUCCCGCACUAGAAGAUCCACACUGUUGAUAUGUCCCUCUGGACUGGGACAAAUUUAUUCUGAGAAGAAAACAUGAAAACCCUUUGGCUUGGGGUUGUUACUGGAGCAUAACCUAAUCUACCCUAACAGAUUCCAACGGGCGUUCGAGAAAGGGCGUUUGACAUGGGGAGGGAUUCAAAAAGCCUACUUACUUCCUUGUGAAGUGAACUGCACAAGAAAUGCCGAUGAUGAGAAGGCCAAUGAUGAUGGAGGCGAUGGCUACCCACUUAGCAUUCCGCCCAAGCCGCCUGGCUCCUUCGUAGUCUCCAUCGUUGUAGCUGUUCAGAGACUGGGGGACAGAAGGGAAGAGCUGGUGAUGACAGAUAACCCACAGGGAAAGGGAUGGAGGUCCUCAGGCUGUCCUGAUGAAAAGGUUCCAAGAGCUCUCUGGUGACUUUGCUCAUCUCACUGACAGCCUGCUAAGCAAACAACACAGUCAUCCCCUCCUCCAGGAAUCCUUCCCUAAACUCUAAGGAUGAGUUAACUGCCCCCUCUGUAUUUCCUGAUGACUUUUGUCUUAGCAUUUACGUAACAAGAUUUUGUCUCUCCCACCAGCAUGUAAGUGCAACGUGGGCAGGGGUCAUCGUCUGUCUUUUAUCUUUUCUUUUUUUUUUUGAGACAGAGUCUCACUCUGUCACCCAGGCUGAAGUGCAGUGGCACAACCUUGGCUCAUGGCAACCUCC